GCGGCCGCGCGGAGGGGCCCCUGUGGAUGCCGCGUCUCGGCCGCCGGGCCCCGCAGUCCUGCAAGCCGCGCGUCGCGAGAUCCGCGCUUUAAAAGCCAAACUCCCCGAAAGGGUCAGCCCCGAAGGAACAUGAUCCAGAAAGACGCAGCUUCUUAAAAAUUCCUUUUGAUGUAGAAACUCAGAGUUGACAGGACCUUAAAAGUCACCCCACCCAGCUGCCACUCUCUUGAUUGUCCUCUGCAGCAUCACUUCCAAGUAAUGACCUGUCUGCUGUGUGAGCACCUCUCAUCACAGGAUACUCACUACCCUGCACCCAGGCAGGCAGGAUGUCCUGUCACUGCAGAUUUCAACUAUUAAAAAGU
rnacentral:lncRNA from 10 species